ensembl:lncRNA
AAAGGAAAUCAGUCCUGAAUAUUCAUUGGAAGGACUGAUGCUGAAACUGAAGUUCCAAUACUCUGGCCACUUGAUGCAAAGAACUGACUCAGUGGAAAAGACCUUGAUGCUGGGAAUGAUUGAAGGCGGGAAGAGAAGGGGAUGACAGAGGAUGAGAUGUUUGGAUGGUAUCACCGACUUGAUGGACAUGAGUUUGAGCAAGAUCCAGGAACUGGUGAUGGAUAGGGAGACCUGGUGUGCUGCAGUCUAUGGGGUGGCAGAGUCGGAAACACCUGAGUAACCAAACUGAACUGAACUGAACUGAAGGGGAAGCCCAAAGAAAUUGAGCAACUUGCCCAGACUCAUAUACUCAGUCAUCCAGCUGGAACUAGAACUUGGAUCUUCCCAAUUCAUUUUGGUAUCAGAAGAGAGAAUCAAAGAAGACUCCCCCCACCCACCCAUCAGGAGAAGCCCCUCAGGAGCAAAGAGUAACCAGACAGGUAUGCUUGGAGCCGCUUGACCUGCCAACUUUCUUAGAGCCCUUGGAGGUGGUGGUUUCUGGUGACCAGGACUACACCCCUAGGACAGCCUACUUGCUCCAGAACCUGCAGACGGGAUCCUGGGGAAAUUGGCAGAAGCCUGCAAAGGAGGAGAAUUCUUACCCAAGUCAACUUGCCUAAAUCUCUAUCUGUCAUGCCAGGUGAAGAGAGAAGCUGAGAUUCUGUGAACUCAGUCAAUCCUAAAGGAAAUCAACCCUGGAUAUUCAUUGGAAGGACUGAUGCUGAGGCUGAAAGUCCAACACUUUGGCCACCUGAUGCAAAGAGCCACCCAGACCACGAUGCUGGGAAAGACUGAGGGCAAGAGGAGAAGAGGAC